rnacentral:lncRNA from 12 species
GAUGCACAGACAGAGGGAGAAGCAGGCUCCCUGCAGGGAGCCUGAUGCAGGACUCGAUUCCAGGACCUCGGGAUCAGGACCUGAGCCAAAGGCAGGUGCUCAAACACGGAGCAACCCAGACACCCCAUAUAAGGUGUGUUCAUUAAAGGGGAUACUGGAUGUGGGGCAUAUGAGAACUUUCUGUAUCCUCAUGAUUUUUUGCAAAUCUGAAAUUGUUCUAAAAAAGGCAAUCGAUUAAAAAAAGAAGACACUCCCUCAGACCCCUCAAAAUGCCCCCGACCUAGUCCAGGGCCUUCCUGGCACAGAUGAAGGCAGUACAGUGAAGGUGUCAUAAUCAUGGGUUCUGCGGGCGGGAGAUGUGGGUUCCAGCCCUGACUCUGUUGCUCUGCUGUGUCCCGAGGCAACUGACUUCCCCUCCCUGAGCCCUCAUCUCAUUGUGGGUCAAAAGGGGUGAGAAUAACACAGUCACAGGGGUGUUGUAGAGACCAAAGUGGGGACUUCAAGGAGCGUGGCCAGGCUAGUGAUGCUGCACCCAGGGGUCGGGAACGCAUCCAAGGGCACGGAUGACGCAAGCCGUUUCCACCCACCUCAGGGCCACCCCGAGUCAGCACACGUCUUUUGAACAGAUCCACAUACAGAAAUGGCCUGGAUGACACGAUGCCCUUGCCGAGUGAAGGAAAUGCCAGAGUUGACACUGAGUCACCGGGCUGUGUCACUGGACUCCAAGAGAGAUGGCGUAUUUGCGAUCUCCCUGUGACAAGGCCAUCCUCGAAGAGAAAUGCGGAGACCUUUCUGUACAUCCCGACAAGAAAAAUAAGCGGUGUAUCCCAUCCAUCUCCCAGAUUAAGACCACAAACGAAGGAGAGGAAACUCUCCCUGAUGUGAAGACACAAUUCCAUCCACCACCACCACCACCACCACCACUGGCUGGUCUUCAACAGCAAAGAAAUGAGCUCUCUGAAUUCUUUUCUCGUACUAGGUGUGCACGCCUGUGGGCCAGUACAUAUCUUUAUCACGGGUGAACUGCUCUCGCCACAUCACCUGCAUCUUCAAAGUAACCCCGG